rnacentral:rRNA from 1 species
GAUGAACGCUGGCGGCGUGCUUAACACAUGCAAGUCGAACGGAAAGGCCCAAGCUUGCUUGGGUACUCGAGUGGCGAACGGGUGAGUAACACGUGGGUGAUCUGCCCUGCACUUCGGGAUAAGCCUGGGAAACUGGGUCUAAUACCGGAUAGGACCACAUUUUGGAUGGUGUGGUGGAAAGUUUUUCGGUGUGGGAUGGGCUCGCGGCCUAUCAGCGUGUUGGUGGGGUAAUGGCCUACCAAGGCGUCGACGGGUAGCCGGCCUGAGAGGGUGUACGGCCACAUUGGGACUGAGAUACGGCCCAGACUCCUACGGGAGGCAGCAGUGGGGAAUAUUGCACAAUGGGCGCAAGCCUGAUGCAGCGACGCCGCGUGGGGGAUGACGGCCUUCGGGUUGUAAACUCCUUUCGCUAGGGACGAAGCGUUAUGUGACGGUACCUGGAGAAGAAGCACCGGCUAACUACGUG